rnacentral:rRNA from 1 species
UACGUAGGGGGCAAGCGUUAUCCGGAUUUAUUGGGCGUAAAGAGCUCGUAGGCGGCCGUUCGCGUCGGAUGUGAAAGCUCAGGGCUCAACUCUGAGAUGCCAUUCGAUACGGGACGGCUAGAGGUAGGUAGGGGAGAGUGGAAUUCCUGGUGUAGCGGUGAAAUGCGCAGAUAUCAGGAGGAACACCGGUGGCGAAGGCGGGUCUCUGGGCAACAACUGACGCUGAGGAGCGAAAGCGUGGGGAGCGAACAGG